UACAGAGGUCUCAAGCGUUGUUCGGAUUCAUUGGGCGUAAAGGGUGCGUAGGCGGCGCGGUAAGUCGGGUGUGAAAUCUCGGAGCUUAACUCCGAAACUGCAUUCGAUACUGCCGUGCUUGAGGACUGGAGAGGAGACUGGAAUUUACGGUGUAGCGGUGAAAUGCGUAGAGAUGGGGGAGAACACUCGUGGCGAAGGCGGCCAGCUAGACCAGUUCUGACACUGAGGCGCGACAGCGUGGGGGAGCAAACAGG
rnacentral:rRNA from 1 species